rnacentral:rRNA from 1 species
CGAAAGCCUGACGGAGCAAGACCGCGUGAGGGAGGAAGGCUCUUGGGUUGUAAACCUCUUUUCUCAGGGAAGAAGUCCUGACGGUACCUGAGGAAUCAGCCUCGGCUAACUCCGUGCCAGCAGCCGCGGUAAUACGGAGGAGGCAAGCGUUAUCCGGAAUUAUUGGGCGUAAAGCGUCCGCAGGGGGCGCAUCAAGUCUGCUGUCAAAGGUCGGAGCUUAACUCCGGAAAGGCAGUGGAAACUGAAGCGCUAGAGUGCGGUAGGGGUAGAGGGAAUUCCCGGUGUAGCGGUGAAAUGCGUAGAGAUCGGGAAGAACAUCGGUGGCGAAAGCGCUCUACUGGGCCGCAACUGACACUCAGGGACGAAAGCUAGGGGAGCG